UGGGGAAUUUUGCGCAAUGGGGGAAACCCUGACGCAGCAACGCCGCGUGAGUGAUGAAGGCCUUCGGGUCGUAAAGCUCUGUCAGAGGGGAAGAAAUGCAGGGGUGCUAAUAUCAUCUUUGCUUGACGGUACCCUCAAAGGAAGCACCGGCUAACUCCGUGCCAGCAGCCGCGGUAAUACGGAGGGUGCGAGCGUUGUUCGGAAUUAUUGGGCGUAAAGCGCGCGUAGGCGGUUUGGUAAGUCUGAUGUGAAAGCCCCGGGCUCAACCUGGGAAGUGCAUUGGAAACUGUCAGAGUUGGAUACGGGAGAGGGUAGUGGGAUUCCUAGUGUGGGGGGGGAAUCCGUAGAUAUUAGGAGGGACACCGGUGGGGAAGGCGGCUACCUGGGGCGAUAUUGACGCUGGGACGCGAAAGCGUGGGGGG
rnacentral:rRNA from 1 species